rnacentral:lncRNA from 1 species
GUUUGAAUACGUUGUCAAAUCAUUUAGAUCUUUUCUGUAGUCAUGCGUACUAAUUCUGGUCCCAACAAUGUUGCUUCUCCCACCUCGUCCCAGCAUACUGGAGAACGACACUUUCGUCCAUACAAUGCCUCGAAUGGAGCCAUGCCUAUACUUGCUUAAUAACUAUUGUUGUAAGAGAAUUCCACCAGUGGCAAGUACUUAUCCCAACUUCCUUUGAAACUAGGACACAGAGUCUUAAUAGAUCUUCAAGCGUUUGAAUAGUCCUUUUCUAUUGCCCAUCCGUUUGAGGAUGGUAUGCUGAACUGAAUCGUAAAUCCGUGCCCAUAACUUUCUGCAAGCUAACCUAAAAUCUUGAAGUGAAUUUUUGGGUCACGAUCCGAAACAAUGGAUAUUGGCAUGCCAUGCAAUCUCACAAUCUCAUUCACGUACAUACUAGAAAGACGUUCAAGGGAAUAAGUUUCUCGUAUAGGUAAGAAAUGAGAAGACUUGGUUAAUAUAUCAACAAUAACCCAAAUUGCAUCUAUGCCUUGAGAAACUUUGGGAAGACCUAUAACAAAAUCCAUGGUAAUGUGUUCCCACUUCCAUUUCGAAAUCUCAAGUGGUUGCAAUGGACCCUUUGGAACUUGAUGCUCCGCCUUUACACGUUGACAGGUUAAACACCUCGAGAUAAACUCCGCGAUCUCUCUCUUCAUAUUGUUCCACCAAAAUGUAUGUCAAAGAUCAUGAUACAUUUUGGUACUCCCAGGAUGGAUUGCAAACGGUGUGUUGUGUGCCUCCAUCAUGAUUCUAUGCUUCAAGUCAGAAUCGUUAGGAACACAAAGUCUGGAGUUGACUCGAAGUAUUCCUUCUUCAUCGAUUCUUGCUUCUGGAAUAGCACCUUCUUGCACUUUCUUCUUCAUACGCAUCAGCCCCAGGUCCGUAGCUUGAGCAGCUUUAACUUUAUCGAUUAAAGUCGGUUCUACUCGUAUAUUUGUCAUCAUCGCGUGGGUCCCUGGAGUCUUUAAUUCUACCUCCAUCCUUUGCAAGUCAUACAAAAUGGGCCUUUGCAUUGACAAUAUCGCACCCGUACUCGCAUAUGAUCUUCUACUUAAUCCGUCAGCUACUACAUUUGCUUUUCUAGGAUGAUAUUGAA